GAUGUCAUUUGGGUGGAGUUAACCUCAGCACGACAUUCAGACUAGCUAACCAGGAAAACAAGUCUUUCAUGUAGUCAAGUUCCCUUAAGAAUAUAUUUGGGCCUUAGAGGUAUGGAAUUGGAUGGCUCGUCGUCCCUGGCCCCUGGCACGCUCUGCUGUUAAGUGUGCUAGUUAUUAAGUAUUAUCUCUUGGUUCCUGUUCUUAAGUGUGCCAGUUAUUUAUUAUCUCUCGGUUUCAAAUCCAUUCCCCUCCGAUGGGCUUUGGGAAUCUGAGGCGGGGACUCUGAAAGCCCGCCGGCGGUGCCGCACCCUGCCGCUAGGGGGCACCAGCGAGACCGGGCGCCUGGAGGACUAGAGGGGACUCGCUGCUUCCGGUUGGCUCUCCGCUCAUUUCCAGGCCGUUCCUGGUUCCCGUCGGCGUCUCCAGCAGUUUUUCACCCUGGCGGAGGCGCUUCCUUCUUCUGACUGCUGACUGCCGCCCUGGGAGGAGUUAGCGGGCAUGAGACGCUGGGGCCCCCGGCAACAGCCAUGAGAGUGCGCCUUCCAGCCCCGGUCCAGCCUUCAGAUGACUACAGCCCCAGCUGGCAGCCUGCAAACUCAUGAGGGCCCUGAGCCAGAGCCAGCCAGCUAAGCUACUCCCAGAUUCCUGGCCUUCAGACAUUGUGAGGUAAUAUACAGUUAUGGCUUUAAGCAGCUAA